ACAUCAUACUUCAAGUUGUUACUUCCUACGUUGGUGUCCAUGCUGUGUUGAACUGUUAGGCAUAUUUUAUCGUCGAUAUGUCGUCUCUUGCUACCUGUACCUGCGUUGAGAUCUGCAAACACGAGGUUAUGAAUUUCGUUUUGGGGUCAAUGGAGUUGGCGGUGGUUGCCGUUACUGGCCUUUUGCGACGUCUUGAUAUCAGUUUGAAAUAAUAGUUCUGAACUCUGGGGAAUCCUCACUCAUACUCGAGUCAACCUGCAGACAGGUCGGCCAGUUUGUUUCAGUAUGUUUCUGGAUGUGCUUCACGCUUGAAGGUCAAGGGAAAGACAUAACGUAAAACUGGCAUGCGGUGGUGUAGAGGUUGGGUGAGAAUGACACGUGUUUCAACAU